rnacentral:rRNA from 1 species
GGGAUMACUCUCCSAAAGGAGAGCUAAUACCGCUACGACCCGAGGGUGAAAGCGGGGGACCUGGGGUAACCUGGGCCUCSCGCGAUGGGAGCGGCCGAUAUCGGAUUAGCUAGUUGGUGGGGUAAAGGCCUACCAAGGCGACGAUCCGUAGCGGGUCUGAGAGGACSACCCCCCYCCUGGAACUGAGACACSGUCCAGACUCCUACGGGAGGCAGCAGUGGGGAAUUUUGGACAAUGGGCGCMAGCCUGAUCCAGCCAUUCCGCGUGAGUGAAGAAGGCCUUCGGGUUCGUAAGCUCUUUCASCAGGACGAAACGUGGGUMUAAUACGGCCCGCCUAAUGACGGYACCCGCCGAA